rnacentral:rRNA from 1 species
UGGGGAAUUUUGGACAAUGGGCGAAAGCCUGAUCCAGCAAUGCCGCGUGUGUGAAGAAGGCCUUCGGGUUGUAAAGCACUUUUGUCCGGAAAGAAAUCCUUGGCUCUAAUACAGUCGGGGGAUGACGAUACCGGAAGAAUAAGCACCGGCUAACUACGUGCCAGCAGCCGCGGUAAUACGUAGGGUGCAAGCGUUAAUCGGAAUUACUGGGCGUAAAGCGUGCGCAGGCGGUUUGCUAAGACCGAUGUGAAAUCCCCGGGCUCAACCUGGGAACCGCAUUGGUGACUGGCAGGCUAGAGUAUGGCAGAGGGGGGUAGAAUUCCACGUGUAGCAGUGAAAUGCGUAGAGAUGUGGAGGAAUACCGAUGGCGAAGGCAGCCCCCUGGGCCAAUACUGACGCUCAUGCACGAAAGCGUGGGGAGCAAACAGGAUUAGAUACCCUGGGUAGUCCACGCCCUAAACGAUGUCAACUA